CGAAGGGGGCUAGCGUUGCUCGGAAUCACUGGGCGUAAAGCGCACGUAGGCGGAUCUUUAAGUCAGGGGUGAGAUCCUGGAGCUCAACUCCAGAACUGCCUUUGAUACUGAGGGUCUCGAGUCCGGGAGAGGUGAGUGGAACUGCGAGUGUAGAGGUGAAAUUCAUAGAUAUUCGCAAGAACACCAGUGGCGAAGGCGGCUCACUGGCCAGGUACUGACGCUGAGGUGCGAAAGCGUGGGGAGCAAACAGGAUUAGGUACCCUGGUAGUCCACGCCGUAAACGAUGGAUGCUAGCCGUUGGUGGGUUUACCCUUCAGUGGCGCAGCUAACGCAUUAAGCAUCCCGCCUGGGGAGUACGGUCGCAAGAUUA
rnacentral:rRNA from 1 species